rnacentral:tRNA from 1 species
GGCCUGAUGGCUCAGUUGGUUAGAGCAUCGUGCUUGGAGCCCGAAGAUCAUAAGUUUGAAUCUCAUGCAAGGCA